ACUCCUACGGGAGGCAGCAGUGGGGAAUAUUGCACAAUGGGGAAACCCUGAUGCAGCCAUGCCGCGUGUGUGAAGAAGGCCUUCGGUUGUAAAGCACUUUCAGUAGGGAGGAAGGUAGUGUAGUUAACACCUGCACUAUUUGACGUUACCUACAGAAGAAGCACCGGCUAACUCCGUGCCAGCAGCCGCGGUAAUACGGAGGGGUGCGAGCGUUAAUCGGAAUUACUGGGCGUAAAGCGCAUGCAGGCGGCCUGUUAAGUCAGAUGUGAAAGCCCGGGGGCUUAACCUCGGAAUUGCAUUUGAAACUGGCAGGCUAGAGUCUUGUAGAGGGGGUAGAAUUUCAGGUGUAGCGGUGAAAUGCGUAGAGAUCUGAAGGAAUACCAGUGGCGAAGGCGGCCCCCUGGACAAAGACUGACGCUCAGAUGCGAAAGCGUGGGGAGCGAAACAGGAUUAGAUACCCUGGUAGCACAGAG
rnacentral:rRNA from 1 species